UACGUAGGUGGCAAGCGUUGUCCGGAUUUAUUGGGCGUAAAGAGCUCGUAGGCGGUCUGUCGCGUCUGCUGUGAAAACUCGGGGCUUAACCCCGGGCCUGCAGUGGGUACGGGCAGACUAGAGUGCGGUAGGGGGAGACUGGAAUUCCUGGUGUAGCGGUGAAAUGCGCAGAUAUCAGGAGGAACACCGGUGGCGAAGGCGGGUCUCUGGGCCGUAACUGACGCUGAGGAGCGAAAGCAUGGGGGAGCGAACAGG
rnacentral:rRNA from 1 species